AUUGCUAGGCAACGGCGAUGAAGCAUUAAAGAAGACAACACAGGUCCUGCCUUCAUGGGGCUUACCCUCUGGUGAUAAGAAAGUGAAUAUAAUUGUAUUUGAAGGAUACUGAGAAGGAGGAAGACAUGGCUGACAGUGAGAAUCAUCCAAACUGAGACUGGCUAUCUAUCUGUAAUCAAGAUCCAGACAAAUGUAUGCCACUACGGUGAAGAGGAAGUCCUUGGAGCCCCAGUUGGCAGGAGACCUGCAGUGAGAUCUCCAGGUGCAGUGUCGCCAGUGCCGUUGUGGGGAGCCGGGUCUCCGGAUCUCUGGAGAGCACUGAGGCCUUUGCAGCAGGUGAUCUGGAACCAAAGUCACUUAACUUCACUGAGCCUCAGUUUCCCCAUCUGCAAAAUGAGGAUAUUAUGUACCAAAGGAGAUAUUUUCAGUACAGUGCCAUCAACUGCCUGACACCAGCAGCUGCUUACACAAGUAGCAUGAACUCUGCUGCCCCUGGCAGGUGGUGCUCCGCCCUUUCCUUCCUGUCCAGUUUGGAUCAGAAAUGAAAGGACAGUACCACGGAAGGCUUGAGCACAGCCUGAGGCAGGUGAUAAAGUGCAUCACUAUGCAAAAUCACACUACUUUUCUGGGUCCUGCCACCAGUCUCUAAAACCAAAAUAAAAUAAACUACUCUCAACUCAAGUGUAUGUAUACUCUCUUUCCUUCUACAAACUGGGCUUUUGCCCAGAAAUCACAACAAGGAAAGGAAGAAUCAAUAAUCCACGUUUUGUAUGCUAAUGUAAUUUGGUAGAAAAUGCACUACAUCUAUCAGAACUCCAUUCUCCGAUUGCCAGAGUUUCUUACCAGCCACAUCUCCAGAAGGGCCUGCAAAAACAAGAGUCAGCAAAACCAUCAUCCCUGUGAGCCCAAGCAAAGUGUAAAAGUGUUAGCCCUUCGUGCCACCCCUGAUGAAGGCCCCAGUUAGCAUUUCUGUUUCUGGCAGAAACCACUGACGGUCAGUCAGUCCCAAAUAACGAUACUAAAGCUCUGCAAAAGGAAAGGGCUCCAUUCUUAGGGGAGUUAUUAUUAUUCAGGGUAAAAAAUGUAUAUAUUCCUUGGGCAGAUUCAUUUCACUGUAAAAGUUGUUUUCAGAGUUACUUUGCUAAAUCUAGUGGGGGGUGGGGAAGACAGAACCAGAAAAAGUUGUGCUUGCCAUAUUUCACAUUGCAAGGAAUAUUUUUGGUUUAGGGACAAUAGGUAGGAUGCUUGGAGAGACCUGUCCUAGCACAUGGGAAAAUAUAAGAAUGUCUAGCUUUAGUGCAAAGGCAGUAAUACAACAGACUUGAGGAUUCAAGACAAGCAAAGCUGCCGCACCACCCUGGCUCAGUGUGGGUGUGCAAGUCACACGUGAGCAUGAAGCCAUCGUCCCAGGCCUUCUUCCAUAGACUCCAAAUUCUGCCUCCCUCUGCAGUAAUGCUAAUUGUGGAUAAAAAAAACCUGAUCUUUUCUUUUCCUAAAGAAUUAAUCCAACCUAUUAAAGAACCACAAGAAAAAAAAAAAGAAGAAAAACUUUCAACUUGAGAUUGCAAUGAAAAAUUUCAGAGAAAAAAAUACACACAGAAUUUUGCUUACUAUUAGCCAUGGGAAAGUUAAGAGAAAACAUGAUAGUUAAAUGACUAAAGACCAC
ensembl:lncRNA